UGCUGCCGUGCCCCAUGUGUUACCUUCAUCACCCUGCUCCUUUUUCUGGGACCCCUGUGGUAUUGUUGUUGUUUCAGAAUGGAAACAGAUGGCAAACUGUUGCUGUUAGUUCACGUGUCGUAUGGGAACAGCGAGGACUUAUUUUUGAGAGUGAUACCGCUGAGACUUAAGACACCUGUCUCGACUCCGAGCAAAAUAUUUCUCAUUUUGAGAGGUAUCGCAAUGAGACCCCUGAAGUAGUGCUCUUCUGUAUUGGAGAAGGGCGUGUGCCAGAGAACCUCUUACAGCUUUAUACUGAAAGUUAUAUGGUAAUCCAAGACUUGCCACCUAUCCCAAUUGGAACGAAUAUGGCUGUGGUAAAGAAAUUAUUGCGACAUGACAAGCUGUACCGACUGGUGGCAUCCGAGGCCAUCAUGUGACAGUAAUAACAAGCUUAGCGCUGCCAGGUGGUAUGAUAAGGAGGAACGGUGCCUGGUCAGCGUCAUCUGAGGCGUGACAAGUGAAGUUAAUGGCUGACUACUGCGAGCAUAGAUAUGCUGUUCCUCCUGAUGAAUGAAAUGUGGGUACCCAGACAGCUACCUUCAUGGACAGGAUAUGAUGCUCCUGAUAAUUGGGGUAGUCAGUACUGAGGAAGAACGGAUACCCUGUCUGCUGAAAUGCAGCUGUGUAAGUCAAGGACAUAUUGCUGACCAACCUGCUGCCUCCCUGUGGACCAAGGAGAAGUUGGCGGAUUCCCUGGUGUGAAGAUUUGUUUGAGUUUGUAAGUGCCUUCAUUGGUGUGAUCUCUGCUGUAUCUUGGUUUCAGCUCUGAAUUUGUGCUUCUGGAGGAAUUGGCAGUGCUGGAUCUCCUUUAGUCAAGAAUGACAAAGCAUCCAACAUCGGAAGGGUCCCCCGCCUCCUAGCCCUACGUGGCACCUGUCUGGGCUUCAGCUGCCCAAGCGGCAGCAGAGUGCUUUUUGAACUCUGGUGCCCCUGGGCUGUUGCUGCUGCCCUGGGAAAGCCUGUUCCAGUACUUCAGCCCCUCUUUCGGACAAGCUGCAUUACUUAAUAGCCCACCCUUUCAGAAGGGCUGAAAGCAUUGUUAUUGGAGAUUGCCCUCUAUUCUUGGUAACUUGUCUUCAUGUUUCCAUUCACCUUAGCGGUGAGGCAAGGUAUGUGGUUUGUACAGAAACGUAUGCUAUCUUUUGCAUAUGCAUUCCAAAUGGUUGAUUUUUCACAAUUUAAAAACACCAAUCAGAUGAGCGCUGCGCUGAGUUCACUGCAGCUACGUACCUGUUGUCUGGCAUGGAAUCAAGACUGGAAUCUUUAGAAUAAACUGCAACCCACCAAUAUAGGCAAGAGGCGGCCUGUGCACUAGCUGCAAUGAGAAAAUUAGAAGUACGAUAAUAGGUUCCACCUCGUGACUAAAGAUGCACUCCCAGUAAAAUCAAAUAGAGAUAGCUUUGUGAUAAUUUAUCUGGGUCAUCUCGUCUUUACUAAAUAACACUCCUGACUCAACAUCAGGCUCUUCCCUCCCACCCCACUGCUAGCUACAGGGGAAAAGAAGCUGCAGCCUUCUUUCAGCUAGUUGGAGGGGAGGGAGUUAGAGCCCUUCCUCGAACGCUUUCUGAGCGCUUCCUUUCUUUUGUUUUAUGCUGCCUUGCCCAGAGCCGCACGCAGCACUCGCAGUGAGUCUGCAAGGCUGCGGAGCGGGAUGAUCCCUUCCUUUGCUCGGCUGGUAGCGUCAGGCCUGGUGCGCCCAGCCCUCCUCGACUGCCACUGUAUGCUUCUGAAUCGAACUUGCUGUCAACUACGGCCCUUGGAUUCCUUUCUGCUGGGCAGCUCUCUGGCCUCGUCCCUGUCUGUAUACCUAACUGAGGUUGCCCAGUCCCAGGUGCUUGCUUUUGACAAACUUCAGGUGGUGGGUGAUCAAACAGCCUGCCGCUGCAGAGCCUUUCUAAGCCUGAGCAGACUGCAGCUCCUUCUAAUUUAGUGUAAUUGGCAAACAUAAUAAAAACAA